rnacentral:lncRNA from 1 species
AUGAUCUUAAGUAAGCCCAUUUUGCUUCAAUUUUCUUAUCUAGAAAAUGGGGAUAAUAACACCCAUGUUAUAGAGUUAUUCUGAUGAUUUCUAAGAGUCUCAGAGACCUAGGAUCCACAAAAUCAAAACAACAAAACCAAGCCUUUGUGCACAUCUGUGGUUGUGACCAGUUGGAGAGACAUUAGGAGAUGAGAUACUAUGUUCACUCCUCACAGCUGUACCAGGGACCUGAGAUAUUCCGUCACUAUUCUAUGAAUGGUCUGGCUUGAUGAUAUCCAACCUGACGUGGCCUGAAGAGACAGACAGUGGCUCUUGCUAGCUAAUUAUUGUCAGAUGGAUCGGCAGCCGACCAACGCUUCUGAAACUAUUGUUUUUGGCAAAUGUUCCUCAACAUUUUCCUGGGAGCUAUGGUGCAUUACUCACGAGUGACAGAACCAACGAGCUUCAUCUCCCAAGAGGCUGGUGCAUCUGUUUAAAGGAGCAGGCACUAGGCAGAGCAGCCCCCACCCCACCCUCCAUGGCAGAGUGCAGUGGGGGAAGGGAUGGGAUUUCACCAUGUUGUCCAAGCUGGUUUUGAACUCCUGGGGUCAAGAAAUCCACCUGCUUCGGCCUCCCACAGUGCUGGGAUUACAGAUGGGGAAACUGAGGCACAGAGAGGUUAGAGAUAUGCCUGAAGCCACACAGCUUGCAAGUGGUGGAUCUGGGAUUUGAACUUGUCGAUCUGGCUGCAGAGCUGAGCUCUUGGAGACUAGGUUUUACUGCCUAGUAGCAUGUAAGCCUGGAACUGCCGGCAGUCAUUUUGUAAGUUUGCCGAGUGAACCUCAAUGAGCAUGAAGCAGAGAGGAAAGCAGUACUAAGAGAUGCAAAAGAGUCUGUGUUCCAGCAAUGGGAUCUGAAGUCCUGGAUCAAACCUUACCUGGAGACAAGAUUUACCCAUCAGACAUGCCAGUUAUAAGACCCAAAUUUACCCUUUUUGGGGGAUUGAGUUUGAAUGAGUAUUUUUGUUUGUUUGUUUUGGCAUCAGAAAGACUCCUGAUUAAUACACAGUGUGACGCUGA